AACUUUGCACUGUGGCAGUAUUGUAGCCAAUGAGAUUUAUUUGAGCCGUGAUUAUUGCUAAUUGAAAACUUUUCCCAAUACCCUACCUUGAUGACUUAUGAUAUAGUUGGCAUUGGCAAUUUUUGAUGGUCCUUACAGGGA
rnacentral:snRNA from 1 species